AAACCAACAGGGAUUGCCCCAGUAACGGCGAGUGAAGCGGCAACAGCUCAAAUUUGAAAUCUGGCCUCGGCCCGAGUUGUAAUUUGCAGAGGAUGCUUCUGGCGCGGCGCCUUCCGAGUUCCCUGGAACGGGACGCCACAGAGGGUGAGAGCCCCGUAUGGUCGGACGCCAAGCCAGUGUGAAGCUCCUUCGAAGAGUCGAGUAGUUUGGGAAUGCUGCUCUAAGCGGGAGGUAUACGUCUUCUAAAGCUAAAUACCGGCCAGAGACCGAUAGCGCACAAGUAGAGUGAUCGAAAGAUGAAAAGCACCUUGAAAAGGGGGUUAAACAGUACGUGAAAUUGUUGAAAGGGAAGCGCCUGUGACCAGACUUGCGCCGGGCGGAUCAUCCAGCGUUCUCGCUGGUGCGCUCCGCCCGGCUCAGGCCAGCAUCGGUUCUGGCGGGGGGAUAAAGGCGGCGGGAACGUGGCUCCCCCGGGAGUGUUAUAGCCCGCCGUGCAAUGCCCCCGCUGGGACCGAGGUUCGCGCAUCUGCAAGGAUGCUGGCGUAAUGGUCACCAGCGAC
rnacentral:rRNA from 1 species